UUAGGUUAUAACUAUAAUUAUUCAAGGACUGUGAAAAUAUCAUGCCACUAAACUCAUCUAUUUUUAUAGCAGUAAUCACUAGUAUAUAAAAGACGUUUGAGAACUUCGACUAAGCAUAACACAUUUUUUUGUGCAAAUAUAUUAUUUGUCUUCACUUAACUCCACGAAUACCAAAUAAAAAUCAAAAAUGGGCGCUGAAAAAGUAUCCAUGAACAUCGUUGUCGUAGGACAAGUCCAAUCUGCCAAGGCUGUCAAAUCCGUCGCCAAGGCCACACCAGCCACCAACCAACUCAUGAACUGUUAAAUUAUGUAGUUCAUCCGUUACAAACUCAAAAAUGCCAUAGCCCAAACAAAACAUAUUUUUUAUAAUAUGUAUUGCUACAACAAAAUAAAUAAGACUUUCCUGAUAUUUAA